rnacentral:antisense_RNA from 1 species
UGUGGGAGCGAGCUUGCUCGCGAUGGCGGUGUGUCAGUCAACAUGGAUGUUGAAUGUGACUGCGCUAUCGCGAGCAAGCUCGCUCCCACA